ACACUCCUGCGGGAGGCAGCAGUGGGGAAUUUUGGACAAUGGGCGAAAGCCUGAUCCAGCAAUGCCGCGUGAGUGAAGAAGGCCUUCGGGUUGUAAAGCUCUUUUGUCAGGGAAGAAACGGUGAAAGCUAAUAUCUUUUGCUAAUGACGGUACCUGAAGAAUAAGCACCGGCUAACUACGUGCCAGCAGCCGCGGUAAUACGUAGGGUGCAAGCGUUAAUCGGAAUUACUGGGCGUAAAGCGUGCGCAGGCGGUUUUGUAAGUCUGAUGUGAAAUCCCCGGGCUCAACCUGGGAAUUGCAUUGGAGACUGCAAGGCUAGAAUCUGGCAGAGGGGGGUAGAAUUCCACGUGUAGCAGUGAAAUGCGUAGAUAUGUGGAGGAACACCGAUGGCGAAGGCAGCCCCCUGGGUCAAGAUUGACGCUCAUGCACGAAAGCGUGGGGAGCAAACAGGAUUAGAUACCCCUGUAGUCCC
rnacentral:rRNA from 1 species